CAUCAUGUUAGCUGGUGUUACGAGCUUAUUGCAGAUAAGCUUACUAGGGUUCAAUUCCCUACAUGAUGU
rnacentral:tRNA from 1 species